rnacentral:rRNA from 1 species
AGCGAACGUCAGCGGCGGGCUUAACACAUGCAAAUCGAACGCGAAAGGGAUUCGUCCCCAGUAGCGUGGCGUCCGGGUGAGUAACACGUAGGGAACCUACCCUAGAGCGGGGGAUAACGUGCCGAAAGGCGCGCUAAUACCCCAUAAGCCCACGUCGGCUCCGGCCGAUGCGGGGAAAGAUGGCCUCUGUACACAAGCUAUCUCUCUAGGAUGGCCCUGCGGCGCAUCAGCUAGUUGGUGGGGUAAUGGCCCACCAAGGCUAAGACGCGUAGCUGGUCUGAGAGGAUGAUCAGCCACACUGGCACUGAAACACGGGCCAGACUCCUACGGGAGGCAGCAGUGGGGAAUAUUGGACAAUGGGCGCAAGCCUGAUCCAGCCACGCCGCGUGAGUGAUGAAGGCCUUCGGGUUGUAAGGCUCUGUGGGGAGGGACGAAAACGGCCGGAACUAAUAUGUCCGGUCCUUGACGGUACCUCCUUAGCAAGCACCGGCUAACUCUGUGCCAGCCGCCGCCGUAAAAC